CAGUGACGCUAGCUAUACUGCAGUCGUACGCUUCUUUUUCACCGGAGCUUGCUCCACCGGAAAAAGAGGAGUGGCGAACGGGUGAGUAACACGUGGGUAACCUGCCCAUCAGAAGGGGAUAACACUUGGAAACAGGUGCUAAUACCGUAUAACAAUCGAAACCGCAUGGUUUUGAUUUGAAAGGCGCUUUCGGGUGUCGCUGAUGGAUGGACCCGCGGUGCAUUAGCUAGUUGGUGAGGUAACGGCUCACCAAGGCCACGAUGCAUAGCCGACCUGAGAGGGUGAUCGGCCACAUUGGGACUGAGACACGGCCCAAACUCCUACGGGAGGCAGCAGUAGGGAAUCUUCGGCAAUGGACGAAAGUCUGACCGAGCAACGCCGCGUGAGUGAAGAAGGUUUUCGGAUCGUAAAACUCUGUUGUUAGAGAAGAACAAGGAUGAGAGUAACUGUUCAUCCCUUGACGGUAUCUAACCAGAAAGCCACGGCUAACUACGUGCCAGCAGCCGCGGUAAUACGUAGGUGGCAAGCGUUGUCCGGAUUUAUUGGGCGUAAAGCGAGCGCAGGCGGUUUCUUAAGUCUGAUGUGAAAGCCCCCGGCUCAACCGGGGAGGGUCAUUGGAAACUGGGAGACUUGAGUGCAGAAGAGGAGAGUGGAAUUCCAUGUGUAGCGGUGAAAUGCGUAGAUAUAUGGAGGAACACCAGUGGCGAAGGCGGCUCUCUGGUCUGUAACUGACGCUGAGGCUCGAAAGCGUGGGGAGCAAACAGGAUUAGAUACCCUGGUAGUCCACGCCGUAAACGAUGAGUGCUAAGUGUUGGAGGGUUUCCGCCCUUCAGUGCUGCAGCUAACGCAUUAAGCACUC
rnacentral:rRNA from 1 species